GGUGGGGACGACGUCAAAUCAUCAUGCCCUUUAUGUCCUGGGCUACACACGUACUACAAUGGCCGUUACAACGGGAAGCGAAGGAGCAAUCCGGAGCAAAUCCCUUAAAGGACGGUCCCAGUUCAGAUUGUGGGCUGAAACUCGCCCACAUGAAGGCGGAAUUGCUAGUAAUUGCAGAUCAGCAUGCUGCAGUGAAUACGUUCCCGGGCCUU
rnacentral:rRNA from 1 species